CUCCUCCUCAGACGAUGAUUGCUCAUUUGUCGUCGUCGAUAGCUCCUCCUCAGUCGUCUAUGUAUCACUCCUUUGUUGUCGUGGAUUGCUCGGCAUUUGCCUUUCUUCCGUCGUUGUCUAUCGUGACUUCAUUGGCCCCUCUUUCGCCAUCGACUAGCGUACUGGUUCAGCCGACGACAAACAAUUGUUGCGCAUGGCUUCUCUUGUGAACAGAAAAUGAAGACAAGAAGAGAAUGAAGGUAGGCAGGAAUGAGAGUGAAGAGAAAACAAGAGGGAGAAAGAGAAAGGCAAGAGUG
rnacentral:lncRNA from 1 species